GUCUCUUCGGGGAUGAUUAAACCGGCGCACGGGUGAGUAACACGUGAGUGACCUGCCUUUUAGACUGGAACAACUUACCGAAAGGUGAGCUAAUGCCGGAUGAGUUAUAUAAGUGCAUGUUUAUAUAGGAAAAGUUGGGGAGACCUGACGCUGAAAGAUGGACUCGCGUCCCAUUAGCUAGUUGGUAGGGUAAUGGCCUACCAAGGCGACGAUGGGUAGCCGGCCUGAGAGGGUGGCCGGCCACACUGGGACUGAGACACGGCCCAGACUCCUACGGGAGGCCGCAGUGGGGAAUUUUGCGCAAUGCUCGUAAGAGUGACGCAGCGACGCCGCGUGAAUGACGAAGGCCUUCGGGUCGUAAAGUUCUUUCGACAGGGAAGAAAAUGCCUAUAAGUAACUGUGUAUGUAUUGACGGUACCUGUAUAAGCAGCCCCGGCUAACUCCGUGCCAGCAGCCGCGGUAAUACGGAGGGGGCGAGCGUUGUUCGGAGUGACUGGGCGUAAAGAGCACGUAGGCGGUGUUGUAAGUCAUUAGUCAAAGACUAGAGCUCAACUUUAGUAAGGCUAGUGAUACUAUAAUACUAGAGUAUCAGAGAGGAUUGCAGAAUUCCUGGUGUAGCGGUGAAAUGCGUAGAUAUCAGGAGGAAUACCGUUAGCGAAGGCGGCAAUCUGGCUGGAAACUGACGCUGAGGUGCGAAAGCGUGGGUAGCAAACAGGAUUAGAUACCCUGGUAGUC
rnacentral:rRNA from 1 species